GCUUGCUUGGACGACUUAACGGACACGAGAAUAUCUCGUGUACUAGUAUAUUCUCCCGAGGAAACGAUCCGGUCAGUUGUCGAAAACAUCCAAGCCCACAUUAGUGCUGACUCUAUAUAUUCCGACGAACAAGAUGUGUUUCAAGGUUGUGUGCGACAAGUGCAAGAAAUUCACGUGGAAGGGUUGUGGUAAUCAUGUUGCAAGAGUUUUAAAAGAUGUACCAGAAAAUGAACGCUGUAAAUGUCCGCGGAAAUAAUAAACCAAAAAAAUAGAAGGAUGGAUGUUGUCAUGGUGAUUGUGAUAUCUCUUUCUAAAUCACUUCACAAGAUGAUGAGGAGACUGAUAAUCAUAUGCACUUAUUCCACUUUGUAUUCAGGAUGUGAUAUUUGUUUGUCAUAUUUAUGUUAAUAACAUGGCACAAUUCAAAUAUAUAUUAUGUUUUUACAUCAGGUAACAAUGCUGUUUAAAAAGUUUAAAAACAAUUAGAACAGAAUUAAAUUGUCAUGGAAAAUCAAAAUAAAAUAAACUUUUUUGAUAAUUUUACUAAACAGAAAACUGCACACACACAUUAAUUUGUAGAACAAAUUUACCAGAAACUUUUACAGUCUAGUUUUAUUUUACAGAACAUUCAUGUCACGCAAUAAAAUUACUGUCAACAGAAGAUUAUAUUUGUUUUGUUCUCCAUUUAAAUAUUAUUUUGUUAUUUAUAAUUAUAUUAAUUACUUUCUUAUGAAAUAAAACGCUUACCACUGU